rnacentral:rRNA from 1 species
UACGUAGGGUGCAAGCGUUGUCCGGAAUUAUUGGGCGUAAAGAGCUCGUAGGCGGUCUGUCGCGUCUGCUGUGAAAACUCAGGGCUUAACCCUGAGCUUGCAGUGGGUACGGGCAGACUAGAGUCCGGUAGGGGAGCGUGGAAUUCCUGGUGUAGCGGUGAAAUGCGCAGAUAUCAGGAGGAACACCAGCGGCGAAGGCGGCGCUCUGGGCCGGUACUGACGCUGAGGAGCGAAAGCGUGGGGAGCAAACAGG